CCUACGGGAGGCAGCAGUGGGGAAUAUUGCGCAAUGGGGGAAACCCUGACGCAGCGACGCCGCGUGAGUGAAGAAGUAUCUCGGUAUGUAAAGCUCUAUCAGCAGGAAAGAGAGAAGACGGUACCCGACUAAGAAGCCCCGGCUAACUACGUGCCAGCAGCCGCGGUAAUACGUAGGGGGCAAGCGUUAUCCGGAUUUACUGGGUGUAAAGGGAGCGUAGACGGCGGAGCAAGUCUGACGGGAAAGCCGGGGGCUCAACCGCGGAACUGCUUUGGAAACUGCGAGGCUGGAGUGCUGGAGAGGUAAGUGGAAUUCCUGGUGUAGCGGUGAAAUGCGUAGAUAUUAGGAGGAACACCGGUGGCGAAGGCGGCUUACUGGACAGUGACUGACGUGGAGGCUCGAAAGCGUGGGGAGCGAACAGGAUUAGAUACCCGAGUAGUC
rnacentral:rRNA from 1 species